rfam:Trichobilharzia regenti genome assembly, scaffold: TRE_scaffold0000079
GUACUUCUGAGGAGUCCCAAACCAGGACGAAACAGAUGUCCAGUAC